CCUCUGGCUUUAACAACAGCUCGGCAUAUACCAGGCAUUCGUUACCAAGUUUUCUAAGGUCUGUUCCAGGGAUUACAUUCAAGCUUUCUUAAGUUCAUUAAAAAGAGACGCUGAUUCGUGGGACGUGUUUUUCUGACCGAUCGAUCCAAUUCAUCCCGCGCAAGCUCAAUUGGAGAAAGGUCUGGAGACUGAGGGGUCCAAACCAUCUUCUGAAGAACACCUUCCUCUUCUCUUUUGUCUCGGUAACCCUGACAGAGCUCGGCAGAGUGCUUAGGGUCAUUGUCUUACUGCAAAACAAACUUAUGAGCCACAAGUCUGAGUCCAGAUGGAGCAGCAUGGUGCUGGAGGAUGGAGUGGUACUGUUCCUUCUUCAUGAUACCCUUUACUUCAAACAAAUCUCCUACUCCAUCACCUGAUAAACGUCCCCAUACCAUGGAGCUACCACCUCCAUGCUGAAUUGUGGGUGUAACACAUGGAGCUUUCAGACGUUCACCAGUUUGUCUGCGGACAUAGACUCUGCGUUUGGAACCAAACAGUUAAAACUUGUUUCUAUCAUCAUAAGUCCAGUUUUUGUGAGCUUUUGCCCACUCGUGUCUCUUUUUCUUGUUCUGUGAACAAAGUAGUGUUUAUUUGCAGAUACACAACCCUUCAGACCAGCCUUUCUAAAAACAUCUCCAUGAAAGCAACAUCUGAUCAUGGAGUAAAUACAUCCCAAAAUACCUCAAACUCAUGCUGGAUUUAACAAAAAGUUGAAGUUACUCCCAACUGUUCGGCCUGUAACGGCCUUGCUUCCAAACUUUUGGCCUGUAGUGUUUAAACACAGAAAAUCGGCUCCAAAAUUUGAAGAAAUGUAAAUGUUCCCAAAAGUAAAUAAAGUAGAAAAAGUUCAAUUUUCUAAACGUUACUGUAAAAAAGUCCUUUUGCUGCCAUUUCAAUAUAUCACCUGUAAAAAGGUGAACCUUUGACACCGUCCCUGUGUGUUUUCAGAGGAGACCAGAGGACAUUAUGAAGACAGUUCAGGAUUUAAUUCAUGUUGAAGCUAAAUUUCCUCGUCCUCUCCGAACUGAUUUAACCUGAUAUUUCCCAUAAUUCAACCUGAUUCCCUCAGAGUCAGACGGCUGUUAGAGCGAGGGGCUGUCUGAGGGCGACGGGCCGAUCCGACAGAAACACUCUGCUCCAGUCAGAUCAGGUUAUGAGAGUCUGAGAGGAGAAAUUUACAUAUUUCAGGAUGUUUCUGUAAUCUUUGGUGAAACGGACCGAGGAGGAGAAACAUCUCCGAGAACCUGGAGCAGGUCCAGCUGCCCUGAAACCAGGACCGGGAUCAACCAGGACCUCUGCUGUUCUCACUAAAACUCUGUUAGACUGAAAGAUCUGAUAUGGACAUGGCUAAUUCAGCUGUGUAACACACACACACACACACACACACACACACACACACACACACACACACAGAGUAACGUCUACACUAAAUAUGAUGGAGGUCAGGAGCUGCAGUUUUAUCUCUAUGGGGACAGAAGAAGAAGUCCUGUUUGUUUUCUGUGUAGGUGUUUGUGUGUGUGUGUGUGUGUGUGUGUGUGUGCAUGUGUGUGUGUGCGUGUAACGUCUCAGACAGGAUUAGUCAUGUUAUUGUUUUCUGCCUGUGGACUCUGUUUGUCCCUCAGGUCUGAGUCUCUGUUCGGCCGUUUUUUUAUUAACAAGCAGAGACACACAGCAACUACCCACACACACACACACACACACACACACACACACGUUUCAUACAGAGAUAAUGUCUUCUAUCUGCAGCCUGUUUGUGGUUUUAAACCUCGGCUCUGUGUGUGUCUGAGGAAACAAACGACCGUCUGAUUUAAAGUCAAAUAUCACAGAAAUGUUUCAACGUCGAGGAGAUUUUAGGGCCUAAAACACAAACUAACUCCUCCUAUUUAAAACCUCUUUGUCCUCACUGAGUCAUCAUCACAGACUGUAUUUAUAAUAUAGACGACUUGGUUCCGCCUUCCACCAGUAUACAGAUUUGAGGCUGAAAAGCUCUCGGUAAUUCCGCGUUUUUUGACAUCCUGACAUUUCACAGCCAAUCAGAGGCCUCUGUUCCUCUUCUCUGCUCCAGUGGGUGGUGCAGCUGUUGUAGUUCUUGCGGUUCUCCUGCAGGGGCAUCGUCUGAGCUUCCUCUCCUCUCUCUGAACUGAAGCUUUUUGUUGCUGUUUCUGAGCUGUAGCACCCAUAGAUAUAUAUAUAAACGCUAGAUGGCUUACACACGCUGUUAGCCAAUGGAGACCAACGUCCGCGCAUGGUGGCCAUCUUGCUUCAGGCUUGCUGUAACAAACCUCAGAGUUUUAGUUCACUCAGGAUCAUUUUGUCAAAAUUCAGCUUUUUUGUGCAAAGUUAAAUUUGGCGGCAUAGUUCUGCUCUGGGUCCCUGCCCUUCCAAGUGCUUGCGUGGAAGCCAGAGACAGGAAGAGCCCCUUCCUGCCCCUCAUGAGCCAUCAUGAAAAGGCGAUAUCAGGGAGCGUAUGCGAGGUUCUAUCAGGGGCCCCUGUUCUCCAUGUAAGCAUGCGUGAAAGGCCAGCGGCAGGAAGAGCACCUUCCCUUCAUCAGGCAUCAUGAAGGCAGAAACGAUGGGGGUAGAGCAGCGAUGAACAGAACCCCCCCAUAAAAUAAAGGGAUUAUCUGUCAUUUAGGAUACAUCAGAUGUGUUAAAGUCUAAAAUGUAAUUUUCUGAUGAACAAACACCUGAGUGGAAAAAAGUUUCUUUUCUACACAACACACUUAUACACAAACACACACACACACACACACACACACACACACACACAUGCGCGCACACACUCUCUAAGAAAUCCAAGGACAGAUCUGAUGGCGGUUAUUCAAUUAUCUCGGAACGACUCAUGCUGUGAAAGAAACUCGUCUCCAUGGCAACACAUCUCAGCUCCUCUGCCUCCUGCGGUGGUUCAUCACUUCAUCCGGACCAAGUGUUUCUGUCCACGCUGAGAUUCAUGCUCUCACUUUCAUCCCUUCACACAUACACACACACACACACACACACACACUCGUACACAGCAGCAUCUCUUCUAUUGAAAGCUGACACACUUUCUGCAGAUAAACAGAAACCCGAUGAAAUAAACAACUCCCUCCAUCAGAGAUGUGUCCUGAUUCUCUUCUUCUUCUCUCCGAUGACAUUUCUCUCUCUCUCUCUCUCGCUCUCUCUCUCUCUCUCUCUCUCUCUCUCUCUCAGAUUCGUGGACUCUAACUGAACAUCUGGUGGUGUGUAUUUCUGGCUCUCCCAGCAGCUCGGGGUGUCGGCGGGUGUCUCUGUCCAUCGUCAGACUUUCAGACCAGGUCUCGGUGGAUCUCUGGCAGCAGCUCGCAGGUCGUAUGUUGGCUUCACAUCAGUCUCUCUCUCUCUCUCUCUCUCUCUCUCUCUCUCUCUCCAGGGUCACUACGCCGACCUCCUGCAGAGCAAACACAAACAGACUGACCUCCUUAUUCAGACCAACAACCGAGCCUGCUGGAAGAGGAAACGCCAGAGGAACAUCUGGCAGAAAAAGACACACUUGGACGGGAACCACAGAGCCCCCCCCCUCCCCCAAUACUCUGGGCUCCACUGCUGUCUGAUUCCGUUAGUAAGAAGUCUCAGUUUUCCUGUUAAAAGGAUCCAUAAAGCUGGCCCCCUGCUUCUCUGUUUAUGAGUCCCAGUUUAGUACACAGCAGCUUCACUUUAACUGACCAUCCAUCUGUUUUUCCUGGAGUCUCAGUUUCACAGUGAACAGUCAUACUGCGGCGCUGAAAAGACGUCAGAAGUGUCUACAACUGCUGCUGGUCAUUUUGAGGAAACAAGAAGAUGGAGCAUCGUACAGCGUUGUUUUUGUCCGUCAUGAUGGAUGCGCUACUUUUUCUAAAGAUGAGACCAACGCUACUCCUCUACUCUGGGGGUUUUGUUCCAGGGUUACGGGGGCGUGGCACACGCACACAUGCAUUGUCCAGACAUACUCCGACUACACUGGUUACAUGAUAGAGAAAAUCAAAUUCCAAUCACAUUAUCUGGGUGUCUUUAUCGUAGUUCUCAAACUCUGAUUAUAGUCGGACUAAGGUGUUAUCAUGACCUUCAGUUGUCCGGUCUUAAUUGGAAAAAGACAAUAGUUCGGUUUUCGCGGGUGUUGACACAUCUUACAGAAUGUGCUAGUUUAGAGUUCAUGCUGGACUCUGCAGACUUUAGUCUGGUCCAGAAUCGGUUUGAUGAGACUAUCUGACGGUUCGACUCGUGCGUCACUCUGAGACGUUAAAAGAUAAGUUCAGUCUUCUUAAAUAUGCAUGAUUGAUAACCACCUUAACCUUUCCUCAUUAUUACUGUCAGUUCAACCUGCAAUUAUGAGAUCUGGAGCUGGUAAUUAUGUCUCCCCAAAUCUCAUAAUAACAUGAUAAGGUCUGUGUUUCCCUCUUUAGGUUAAUGUAAUGUGCUUCAGUGAGAGUCUGUCGGGGGAAUCGUUGAUGAAGUAAUAAACCUUUCAGCGUUUAUGUCUCUGACCUUUUCAGGAAAAUCAAAAUCUACUAAAAUAUUCAAAUCCCACUUCAACCUCCGUUCGCCACAGACUAAACGCUGGAUCUGAAGGAGCGCUGCAAACCAACAAAACAUUUAUCAAACUGUUCGGUCUCCUCUGAGGAUGAACCUUUUUACACGCUGAAUCUUCCUGAUCUGUUUGAGGAUCAAAUCAAGAAAGGUGAAUGAAUGUAGAAGCAGCAGCAUCUUCAGCAGCAGCCGCAGCAGAUGGUUCAUUAAAUGAAGAAGUUAGCAUUCAUUAGACAGGAGGUCGUUACCUGCAAACAAAUUAAGAGGGAGCAUUAAAGAGCGGCUGCCUCUGAAGUCCACGGCCUGUUUCUGCUGUAAAACGAGGAGGUCCUAUUAACGAGAGCGCCGCUUCAAAAACCAUGAAGAAGAAAGCUGCAGACGCCGUCCCAUCCUCUGAUCGAUCAAUGCUGCUCACACUCCUCCUUUAUCGGCCACUGUCCUCUUGUUUCUCUGAAGAGAGCUGUUAGAUUUCCAAUAAGUGCGGACCUCAGAUGUCUUUGUAGCUCCAUUAUGCUCCGUGUUUUAACAGAGUCGAUCACAGAGGAGCUUUAAUAACGCCGCUCCUCCGGGACUCUUCACACGGCUCUGCUAAUAGAUGGGCCUCAGCCUGGACCGAAUAAUCUGCCCACAGGGAAACGCUGCCGAGUGUGCGGGCGGCCGCCUCACACCGCAGCCUCUGAAAGUGCCGAGUCAGGGUCACAUGACCGACAGAGACACCUCUGAACACUGAGUUUGUGUUCUUGUAAACGGGUAAUCGAUGGAGACGCUGAGAAGAAACUCUCAGAAUAAAUGGAAAACAUGUUCGACAUAAAUGAGCUCUGACUGCAGCCCUCAGCUUCCCGAGGUUUCAGACUCACAACAUGAGAACAGAAGAUAAUAAUGCAAACGUGGGAAAUGAUCAUCGCAGGAAUACGACCACGUCGGCUGUUUCUGAAAACCGUACGCUCAUUUAUAACCAGGCGGUGACCUUUAGAGGCUGCAGAGUCAGGUCUGUGUUUAAGGAGCAGAAGGUCUGUGUGAGGGGCGCUGAGUCAUCCAACAAACCCUGGACCUUCACUGAGAGGAGCAGAGGAGGAAAGGUCUGACAUACUCAGGUGAGGAACAUCACAGCUGCAGGUGUUGGACCAACGUCAGGAAGUAGUUUAGUUAGAAGAUUAACUUUAAAGGAACAAACACGUCUGUGGACAAAACUAAACCUGGGAUUAACUCCACUUCCUGUCAGUCUUUCCUCCGCUGACUCAGCAGUUUGAACACACGUAUGAAUCCAAUCAGAACACUUACCCCCAAUCUCCACCUUCAUCCUGAUCGUCUCCUAAAAGGUCGUAUCCUCCGAUCAAAGCUGAUCGUAACCAUCAAGUUAACGUUUUUUCUGGACGCCGGAGCAUGGCGGAUAAAUUCAGCACAGAUUAACCCGUGCUGGAAAGGAAGUCGGGCACAGACACAAAAUAAAACAUCCGGCUUCCUUUCAAAAUAAAGUAGGAAUUGUCGGACAGUGAAAAUUGCUGCACUGACUUCCUGUUCAGGAUGACAGCGAAUCUGUUCUACAGAACAUCCUGUCAGUACGUGUCAGUAUCAGGAAGGGCAUGUUUGAUUAGGAAACCUCCUCUCUGUUUGUGAACGCAGCCCAGCUCAGCUCUGCGGGGCGUUCGCAGUAAACAGACGCACUUCCAGCUCGGCCUGGUUUUAUUUCACGAUGAAGAGAGCGAGCGAUUAUGAGAGUCAUUACACUCGAUGACGGGCGAGUAAAACGGAGGUGCUGCUGCUGCCUGAAGGCGAAACAUCUGCCUCAAAGUCAGAGAGAGGCGACGGGAUCGAGAGUGGGCGGAGUCAGAGAGGAGAGAGGAGGAGUCUAUAUCCAGGAUCAGGACUAAGUUCUCAGAGUGAAUGUGGUUCAGUUUUUAAUUCAGCCUGAUCGACUCUUUGAUAUUUUUAAAACUGUAGAAACGUUUCUCCACCGUGUUUCUGAGUAAAACGACUCGAGAGGGAGGACGACUCUCUCCACAUGGAUUCAGUAACCGACACUGAGACGCUCUCUGCUCUGCAGUGCAGCUCAUGGAGGGUUGGACUCUGAAGUAAAGUGUGUCUGUUUUUUUUCUCAUUUUCUCAGAUUUCAUGGUCAUGCAGUCCUGAAGUGAAUCAGCCCUCAUUUCGAUUUUAACAUGGUUAGAGCAGGUGGAACAGUCCUCUCUGAACCUCCUUCCAUCUCAAAGUGAAUCAGGGUUUCUGUGGGCGGCAGUCGCUCAGGAGGUAGAGUGGUCGUCCAAAAACCGGAAGGUUGGCGGUUUUGAUUCCCCUCCAUCCCAAGUCUGUCGGUUGUGUCCAUUGGCAGGACACUUAACCCACCUUGCUCCCAGUGUGUGUGUCCUCCACUGGUGUGUGAUUGUGAAUGUUGUGUGGUGGUGGUCGGAGAGGUUGUGGGCGCAAACUGGCAGCCAUGUUUCUGUCAGUCUGUCCCAGGGCCGCUGUGACUACUAACCCGGGAUUUCUGUUCCAAUCCAAAACGGCAGCAAUUUUCGCCGUCUGCCAAUUUCUACUGGAUCCAUUUGUGAGGUGAAUUUCAUGUUGGAUUAUGGACAACAGGAACCGCGAGAACUCACAAGAACCCCUAGAUUCAUGUGCAAUAACAAGUUGUCUCUAUAAAGACAGACACAUAGACAUAUAAGCAGUAGAUUGUGUCCUUCCAGAGGAGGAAAUCUACUUCUAGACUUCUAGAAUCAGCAUCUCCUCAUCCAUGGUGUCAUCGGGGUGAAAUGACGUCUAAAAACCUUUCACUUGUUCGUCUCCGCCCGUUUGCAUGGUGUGAAAUACGAUCCUCCUGAAACACGGAGUGUUUUAUUUUGAAAAGAAGCCGGAUGUUUUAUUUUGUGUCUGUGCCCGACUUCCUUUCCAGCACGGGUUAAUCUGUGCUGAAUUUAUCCGCCAUGCUCCGGCGUCCAGAAAAAAUAGAACUCUUGUGAUCAGCUGAGGAGUCCGGCGAUCCGCAGAGGAACGGAAAGAAGUCGGUGUAAAUUGACACGUUAACUUGAAUGGUUACGAUCAGCUACGAUCGGAGGAUACGACCUUUUAGGAGACGAUCAGGAUGAAGGUGGAGAUUGCCAGUAAGGUAGUUUAUCACCACCAGGGUGUGACUGCGUGAGCGAAUGAAUGAUGUAUCCAAUGUGAGAGAGAGCUUUGAGAUCACUGACAAAAAGCGCUUCAAAAUCUGAUGUAUUAUCAUCAUUAUUAUUAUUUCUGUCUACGUUCUGUGUGCUAGAGUCAAGGCAAACGGGGGCCAAAGGGCCGGAUUCAGACCUACAACAUAACAAUGAUACUUGAGCUGCACAAUGAGGUCUUGGCACCGUGAGUCCGGGUCAGUUUCCCUCCUGAGUGAGCUGUACAGACCGUGAAGCUGCUGUAUGACAAGAAGGAGGAUCACAAUCAGAGAAAAACACACAGUUUUCUGAAAAAAUGAUCCUGUCUAUCUCUGUAUCAGUCCUGGUUCUUUAAACCUAAAGUAAACCCGCAGAAGAUCUCAUCAUCAGCAAAUAAACGAGACCGGAGAGAGAGAGAGAGAGAGCGAGAGAGAGAGAGAGAGAGAGAGAGGAGGUGAUGAACAGAGAGCAGCUCGCCUUGGAGUGUGAAAUGUACUCUGCAGCUCCCACGGGAUUCGACAGCACACACACUCACACGCACACGCACGCACGCACGCGCGCGCACACACACACACACACAGAGGACAGAUAGCUGAAGUAAUGGAAGUGUGAGCGAGGAAGAACCACCAUUAGUGCUCAGAUCUCAGUGUUGAAUUUACCCUCAUCUGCUCUGAUAUCUGUGAGGUUCCCCGAGGAGCCGAUGAUGACCUCUGGAGAAGCUGCAGAGAUGAAUUUCAAAGAGGGUCUAGUGAAUAGAAAUAACACUUCAGAGAGGCGCGCAAAUGGGUGAUGCAACACCAUGUGGGUGUAGAGAGCAGCACCUCAGGGCUCUGAUGGAGGCCGGCGUACAGACCCUGCAGGACGCUUGAAAGGAAACACGCACAGAUCACACACCUCAACCCUCCAUUAGGAGUUGGGUCCUUUAUUUGAAGCAGGCUUGUAUUCGCUGCAGGCUAUACGUCAAAUUCGCUCCGUCUGAAGAGAAUAAUAAACUUUCUCACUGCAGCGCUGCUCUUCUUUAUGUCAGAGUUUGUAUUUAAACUCCGAUCUCUGCUGAAAGGAUCUCUGCCAGAAACUUUAGCUCAUCUGGAGAAAAAAAGAGUCUAAACUGGAGCUCGAACUCCAACAAGAAAAGUUUUUGCAGAGCAAAUAAAACUGUGUGCGGGUCAUCGCUCUCAGCAGGAGAGGUUUUCCAACUGCAAUUUCACCUUUAAAGAUUGGACUCCAGGAGAAGAGAAGUCUAUUUCUCUGAGCCAGAUUCUUUUCUAAUGUCAAAUAAAAACACUUCUGUCCUGAGGUAAACUUUCCUCUGUGUGGAGACUUUAAAUUUAACCUCUUCCUCAGUAAAGUGACCCCUGACCCCUCCCUCUGCUGUAUCCCCGAGCCUGUUGUACUUCUGUCUGCAAACACAGAGGUCAGCUAAAGGUGUGAUGGGCAGAGAGUUGUGCUUGUUCUCAAAUCCUACAUGAUGCUCGGCGCUCAGUGUGUGAGCAGACUUUCUUUCUUUAGUGUCUCCACACAAUCUUUUCAGAAGGAAAAUAUUGACCCGCUAACAAAAGCCGAGAAAGCUGGGACAUCCUGAGCAGCAGAGCGGCUCUCUGGAGACCGUGCAGAGUCAGAGUCGGGUUUUUCAGGUUUUUCUCCUGCUGAACGACUUUAAUGUGAGUGACCUUUGUUUUUCUCUUCACCUCAGAAAAGUCCUUUUAUUUGCAGCUUUGACCAAAUGGUGACCCGAGGGGCGGAGAGGGUCUGAGGAACCUGUGGGGAGUGAGACACAAAACAAGGCCGAACAUCUAGGUUCCCUGCAGUUCCCUGAGUGUCCACUAGAGGCUGUGUCCUUCAGUGAGUCAAUCCUAAUAGAGCCUGAUGUUAAAAUAUUAAACUUUACAGCAGGAAUAAGCAUGUCGACAGUCAGGUACAAAAAUAUCUAUAGCUCAUCAGAGUAGGGAUUAAAGUCGCCUGUUCAUGAACAUCGGCGUGUUUUCAGAGGUUUGUUUUUGUGAAUAUCAGACUCAUCAUUGGUCUAAUUUCCCUUGAAGACGGUUUGAUCCUCGUUGUAUCAGGAUGAUAUUCUGUGUAAAUCUGUGCGAAGCUGCAAACAUGUCCUCCUGCUCUGUUUUUAACAUCUUUCAUAUCGUCCUGUGAUCUGAGGAGGAACUAAGACCUCUCCGCUCUGUGACCGAUAAUGGAGGUGAGCGACCUGUGGAGGCAGACGGGAAACGGAGCCGUCUUACACCGCCGCUAGCACAGCUGAGCACGCUCAGUCUGAUCAGGCUGAUGAAAGGUGAUAGUCUGCAGAGAUCGUAUCUGAGAGGAGGGACUCAUUAAAAAGGGAACUCUGCUAAAGUGGAGGAGAUGGACGUGUGAGAAGGACUCUGAGGUUUGUCGUGAAACACCUUAAAAACUUUCAAAAACCUUAAAAAAAGCUUGAAAAUCUUAAAAACCUUAAAGAUAAAAAAAACCCUUAAAAACCUUUAAACACUUUUAACAACCUUUUAAAACCUUACAAACCUUUGAAAACCUUUAAAAGCCUUAAAAACAUUUAAAACCCUUAAAAACUUUCAAAAACCUUUAAAAUCCUUCAAACCUUGAAAACUUUAAAAGCCUUUAAAAACCCUUAAAACCUUUAAAAACCUUCAAAAAAAUUUAAAAACCUUUAAAAGCCUUUUAAAAAUGUCAGCAACCUUUAAAAACCUUUUAAAACAUUCUAAGAACCUUUAAGAACUUUCAAAAACCUUCAAAACCUUUUAAAAUCCUUUAAAAACUGUCAAAAACCUUCAAAAGCCUUUUACUAAACCUUUUAAAACCUUUUAAAAACCUUUAAAAACUUUAAAAACCCUUUAAAUUCUCUCGAUGUGAAGUCAGCUGAUCUGCAGAAACUGCAUGAUGUCAUCACGCCAAUAUGAGUCAAAAUCUCUUAAAAACGCCGCCUGAGGCCUGUCCUGCAGGAAGUCUUCCUUUUAUUUCCUUGUUCCUAUAACUCUAUGAGCCACCUUCAAAAUAAAAGCCUGCCUCAUGUUGGUGCUCUCAGCCGCAGGGUUCAAAGUUUCUCUUGUCGAAGUUCUUGGGUCUCAACUUUUCAGGUGAAGUCCGGGGUCAGAUCUUCCUUCCUCUCUCACACACAGAGCAGCUGAUUAUGGCGAGAAAAAGCCGAGUGUAUUUUCAUUCAGAGGGGACGGCGGCGCGGCUCUGACACGGCGUGAGUAAUGGCGCCUGGCUCAGGACAGGAAACUCAUAAAGCCUCCUGUAGCAGCUGCUAUCUGUGAAAGUAGGAUGGAUAUCUCCCUCAGAGGGAUCCAAAACAACGGUCCGCCCGGGCUCGGAGGAAAAACACGAGGGUGGAGUUUAUUUCAGGGUGAGGUGACGGAGAGAAGAGCUCUGAACGAUGACCCAUGAAGACCAGAGACUCUUAAAACAGAGUUUAACUAAAACACACUGAGGUUAGCCCCGCCUCCUCCAUGUAAACCGAUGGGACAUGAGUCAAAAAUCACAGUCCUGGUCACAUUAAUGUUUCAUAGUUAUAAGCUCAUUUUAUUGGUCUAAAGGAGUCAUGUGAUGCUAUAAAAAGAAGCGAAACAGAGUGAUUGACAGCUCUGUUGACCAAUAAGGCCCGCCCUCUAAUGGAUCUGGUCCACAUAUAGGUGGUCUCGGUGGUAAAACAGGUUUAAUCCUGCAAAGAAGUGAGGUGACCGAUACAGUUAACAUCCUGCAACCAUGACUAAUGAGAAGGAAGAGAGGAGCAAACUGAUGAAACAGAGCUAAUGGACAUAAAUAUCAAUAUAUAUAUAAACAUGCACACAUCAAGAACUCUGAGAACCCGGGUGAACUGCAGGGUCAGGGUUAAGGGUUAGGGGUUAGAGUUAGGGGGAUAGGGUUAGGGUUAGGGUUAGGAUUAGGGUUUGGUUAGGGGUAGGGGUUAGGGUUAGGGUUGGGUUAGGGGUAAGCAUUAGGGUGAGGGUUAGGGUCAGGGUUAGGGUUAGGCUUGGGGUACGGUUAGGGGUUAGGGGUAGGGGGUUAGGGUUAGGAUUAGGGUUUGGUUAGGGGUAGGGGUAGGGGUUAGGGUUGGGGUUAUGGGAAAGGGUUAGGGUUCUGGUUACAGUUAGGGGUAAGUGUUAGGGUUAGGGGUAGGGGGUUAGGGUUAGGAUUAGGUUUAGGGUUUAGGGUUAAGGUUAGGGGUGAGAGUUAGGUUCAGGGGUUAGGGUUAGGGGUAAGGGUGGGGUUAGGGUUCUGGUUACAGUUAGGGGUAAGCGUUAGGGUUAGGGGUUAGGGUCAUGGUUAGGUUUAGGGUUGGGGUAGGGGUUAGGGGUAGGGGUAAGGGUUAGGGUUCUGGUUACAGUUAGGGGUAAGCGUUAGGGUUAGGGGUUAGGGUCAUGGUUAGGUUUAGGGUUGGGGUAGAGUUAGGGGUUUAGGGUUAGGGGUGAGAGUUAGGUUCAGGGGUUAGGGUUAGAGUUAGAGUUGGGUUAGGGUUGGGGUUGGGGUUAGGUUUAGGGUGCAGAUCAGGUUAUUAUUGAUCAUGCAUUUACAGAUCUGUAGCUGUUUUCUGAUCCCUUCAAUCUCUCCAAACUUCUCCACAUUUCCUCAUCUCUUAUUUUAUAAAGUCACGUCGUCAUAAAACCCACCGGCUCGCCCUCAGUUGCUGUUUUAAUACAAAUACAGUAUCUGAACUCUCUUAGACUCCAAACUUUGCAGGAUCCUGAACUACAAAGUCCUUUUUUUUUAAAGUUGAGCAGUGACUCAGAGAGUUUAAUCCCUGAUGUGCUGGAAAGACUUCAGAAAAGCUGCAGAGUUUCUCGAACAGAAGAAGAAGAAGAAAGCGUGUAUGUGUGCAGAAAAGGAGUUUCUGUGCUCAUCCCAGAGCAGGAAAUCUCUGCUGCAGUCAUUUGUCUUCACUGAUUUAAUGUUGAAAAUGAGUCCUGAGAGAGCGACCUGUGCACCUGCUGCAGGCUGAGUCUUCCUAAUAAACUGAAUCAUCGGCUCUUUGUCUGCUGUUAGACCCAAACAAGAGCUCAUGUUUAAGUCCUAAUGAAAAUGUCAGACUCACACAGAUAACUGUCUGAAUGAUCAUUAGUCGCGCACGCUCGCCAUAAAGCGUUUAAAUGUGGAAAUGUCAGAGCUGUCUGAGCUCAUCUAUUAUUUAUUCUGAUUUUACAUCAUUAUUUAGAGCCUCACAGAACAAUACGCUGAAUAAUCAGGGAAAUGUUUGUUAAUUAUGUGUGGCAUUAAGUCAAUGUGACCCAGACUGAUGUUAGACGCUCUAAUCUCAGCUAAAACCAAUUUAAACGCAGAGUACGUUGGUUUUUUAUUUCAUUUUAAUUCACAUUCAUGCAGACGCUGUCGCUCUGAGGACCCGGACUAACAGCUGGAGGCGUUUCUUUUAUUCGGGAAAACACAACAUAGAAGUCUAUCAGUGAUCCUGGGCCCACAGAGAUCAGUCUGAGAACUGAGGCAGAGAGAGGGGGCGGACACAAAUACAGGGGCAACAAGACAGAGGGUCAAACGGGCAAAAGGUUCGAUUAAAGCAGGUCAAGGUGAGUACAGGGUGAGGGAUCGAAAAAGAAAACGAGACUGAUGAGAGACAUGAGGUUUGAUACAUGAGGUCAUGAGGGAGAGACAAUCAGGAGGCAGGUGUGACAGGAAGACAGGGUUAGUGACUUCAAAAUAAAACAGGAAGGACAACUAAUAGUACAUGUCUGCAGAGUCGGAGAGCCAAGCAGAUCCACAACUGUCUUUGUGCCCCUGCUGGACGGAGUAGGGCAUUGCAUGACAGAUCCAUGACCUUCUUUUUAACACAUCCGUUUUUGUGCCCAGAAAUUUAAUUUAAUAAACAAGUUAAUAAAUAAAAAUAAAAAAUAAAAAUUUGUGAAGACUGUGACUGUGACUGCCCAAAGUCACAUAUUUAGAUAUUAAUCUAGAUUUUAUUAAUUUUACAUUUAUCUACUUAUCAUCUUUUUAUGUAUUGUCUGCCAACUUGAAAUAUUUCGGUUUAUUCUACCAAAAUAUGAACUUAUAUCAUCCCAAUAUCUGAGGGAUCGACCUCUUUUUUAUCCUCUUCAUUCCUCUGCGAUGAUUUUGACCCUGAAUACAAAAGUCUGUGUCUGCAGAGUCGGAUCAAUCUGAUAUAUUUUCAUGUUCAAUCUCACGCACAUUAUUAGUCAUCACACUUCUGUUUCAUUCACUACAAUGCUAGUAACCUACGGGUCAAAUAGUGCAUUUCCGAUUUCUGACAAGCUAAUGUUAGCAUUAGCUUGACUGAGAUUCGAUUUUAGACUAUCAUGGAAAGACGUCCUGAACGGAGCCUGUCACAUCGACAUUUAUUUCUCCGUCAAAUUCAAGACAACAGUUUUAUUAAUGACUAAAAUAUGUGUGAGUCUCGAUCAUGACGUCGCUCCAUUCGAGCCGAUAACUUUCGAGAAAGAAGCGGUAAGAAGAGGCGGUCACGUGUUUCAGGUUGUGGAUCUGUCAUGAAAAAGUGACUCUGACAGAAACAGUGAAGAAUGACGGUGUGUUUGCCGUUAAUCGUAAAUUCAUGUAUUUUUACACUUUUUAUUUAGUCGUGUUUAAGUUCAGAUGUGUGAGACUCCUCCGUCUCUGACUGUUUAAAAAAGCUGCAGAGAAAAAAACACAAACAGGAAUAUUUUUGUUUGUUUUUCUCCUUUUAGCUCCACGUGAGAACGAACAGAGCUGAAGGAGGUUUAUCCAAACUCCAAACCGCCGUCCCUGAGUGUGACCCAGAUAUCAAAUUAAAGACGCGGACCUUCACACGAACACAUGCUGUUUAUUUCUGUGUGCGCUGACAGUUUAGCUGGAGGUGAUUCUGCUCACCCCGAUAAUCUCACGUCAUCUUUAUGGAAGUUUUAUCUCUCCAUGAUGAUGAGCGAAACACGGAAACACGGAAACACAGAGCGAGCGUCUCUUUAACCCUCCGUCUGACUCUGAUCGAUGUUUCUGCUCUGCGGUCUUUCUCCGCCCGAGGCUGACAUGUCCGUAUCUGUGACGCUCACAUAGAUUUAUUUACAUCUGUGUCAGAUUCAGGAGGCUACAGGAGCAUCACACCAAGGACAGAGGACUUCUUUAUUCAGCAUAAAAACAUUUCUGCAGCAGUGGGAGUGGGAGGGAAAUCAGAGGAAUGAGGAGACAGGAGAGAGAGAGAGAGAGAGAGAGCGGAUAACUUCACCAACACUGACAGUAUUCUUUAUUAAAGGGGAUGGAGAUUUGCACUGAAUAUAAUAUUGAAGUCCGUCUAUCAUCCCUUUAACUCUGUUUUAAUCGUCUGUGAUGAAUAUUCAAACUGGAGGAAUGAGAUUCUGGCAGAAACAGGAGCGCUGAAUGUCAGUGAUAGGUCAGCUCAGCAGGAAGGUCAGCGUCUGAAUUAUUCACUCCAAAUGAAGUUAAUCGGUGAUUAAAAAUCUACCAUCAUUUAUGGAGAGGGUGUUGGUUUGACCAGCAGACCUCUGACAGGUGAGUCCAGAGAGAGUACAGGUGAGAUAAAUAACCGCGAGGAUGAAGGUUUGCUCUGCUCACAGUCCCCGUGAGGAGUCGGGCUGGGAAAAUCUGCAGUAUUUCUAGGAUGAGGACUGCAUUUCCCAUGAGCACCGUCACCCCUGAAGACUAGAGGAUCUGUGUUACAGACCCACUCUAAUGAAAAUCCUGUUUUUCUUGUCGUCUACAUGUUCAUAUAUUGAUUUUUCUGAUACUACAGGACGUAUCAUAGGAAAAAUAAGUGUGACAUUUGUGUUUCUGACUCAUUCAAAUCGCUGUGAAUCUCUGGCAGACUUAAACAGCAGGUUCAGAUACAGUGAGAUUUCCUACAUCACAAAUCCAAGCUCCGCCCCCAGAGCCCCGCUAUGAAGGCCAGACUCAGAGAAGUCGAGAGGACGAUCACGGAACAAGCGUGUGAGUUAGCGGAUUGUAAUGAUAUUAACUUUCAUCGUGUCUCUAAAGACAUUCGUGUCCGAGAGAUGAAUAACUCCGAUGUUACCUGCUUCUUCUACUUCAACAUUAGGCUACAAGCUAGCAUGAAGAGGAGUGUGCAGAACAGCGCUGACUCCGCCCACGACUCAGAGGUGAAUUGCCAAUGAGCUACAGGAGCUCUGCAGAAGAAAAGACCUUGAAAAGGACACAGGUAAUGUGAAUUUGGCUAAAAACUUCAUAAUCACAAUUUAAAGACUUUAAAUAGUAAAAAAAAUGAUCGGAGUGUGACUUUAAAGAAGCAAAUAACAGAAUCUGCAGAAACACUUUUUCAGGAAGCAGAUCGAAGAUCUCGCGUUGAUUUGAAGCUCCAUCAAAUCAUUAAGUUUUACUGGAGCUGUCAGCGUGAAUAAGAAAAGUGCGGUAAAAAGCACACCUUAGUGUAGCUGACACUUCUGCAGCCGCCAUAUUGGAAAAUAACACCAAAUUGGAUAAUGAAGACCACCACAACAGGAAGGAAGAAUGGAAUACAGUGGACCUUCUGGUCACAGCUUGAGGACCUCGAUUUUACUGACGACCUGGCCCUCCUGUCACACAGCCAAAAUUGCAUGCUGAAGAAGACCAACCGGCUAACUCCAACACCCCUUGGAACAGGCCUCAGGUUAAACAAGGAAAAGACGAAACUGAUGAGGAUGAACACCCCGACCAACAUCCCUGUCACCCUAGAUGACAGGCCCAUCGAAGAAGUCGACUCCUUCACCUACCUCCGCACAAGCGAGGUGGCACAGAUAGGGAUGUCACUGCCAGGGUAGGUAAAGCUAGAGCGGCGUUUAUUAUCCUGAAGAACAUCUGGGCCUCAGGGGAAAUAGAGGCGCAUAUUUGGAAUUAAGUGGCCGGAGGAAAUCAACAAUAAGGAGCUGUGGCAGAAAGAGAGACAGGAGCCAGUGAAGAGCCAGAUCCGGAGGCGGAAGUGGGGCUGGAUUGGCCACACUUUGUGUAAAUCAUCAGCUUCCGUCACACGCCAGGCCGUGACUUGGAAGAAGAGGGGAAGGCCCAAGAACAGCUGGAGGCGGGACACUGAGUCAGAGCUGAAGAGUUAUGGGGAGAGGUGGAGAGGAUAGUCCAGGACCGUGCUGGAUGGAGAAGAGUUGUUGAUGGUCUUUGCUCCACAGAGAGUUACGGGUCUAAGUAAGUAUACAGUGUUUUAAAAUGGCCGAUAGAAGGUGUCAGAGCGUUAUUAUCAGCUGCUCUGAAUGUGGAAAUUAAACCUCAAAAACAAGAGCGGUCACUUCUGGACGACUGAACCUCCCGAUUAUUUAAACCGGAUUUUAUUUGGGUUUUAAAUUUGAACGCUGCAGAACCACAACACGGCUCUGUGGACUCUAACGGUCCGGUUCAGAUGAAACAAACAAACAGGAGUGAGAUUCUGCAGAGGAACCAGAAGGACCGUGAAUUAAAUCAGCUGACACGACAGAUCGGUCUGUUUACGAACCGUCCUGAUGGUCAGUGAGGAUCAGUCUGAGGAGAAUCCGUCACUUUUAUUAUCCAAUCACAGAUGACCUUGUUUCUGUUUGCGGCUCGGGACGAUUUCAGAGUGAAAUGAGAGUCAGUGGACGGUGGCUGCAGAGGACAAAAACAGGAAAAUGGAGACAGAUGAAUCCGGGCGAGGUCUGAGAGUCAGCUCAUUAUUCUGAUGCUUUUGUCAUUAUUUCGGUGUCACAUCCUCGAUGGAGAUUCAGACGCCGCAUCAUCCGGUCUGCUCUCACUGAUCAUCUUCAUUCAUCUCCAUUCAGAGCAGGAAAUGGGACGACAAAACUCUGAUGAGCAUCGAGGAGCAAUAACAACGUUUCUGUCACCGAGGAGGAUCAGUGAGACACAGACAGAACCAGGACUGAUGGGCUCAUCACCACACUGACCUUUACCCAUCCUUUACACUCCGGUUUCUGCUCUAUGUGGACCUGAACCGGGACCCUCUUUAACCUGGGAGGUCCCGGCUCUGCCUAAGUCCAUAUAAAGACCCCAAUUACACAUGUCAAUGUCAAGUUUAUUUGUAUAGCCCAUUUAAAGCAGCCAGUGGCCUACCAAAGUGCUUUACAAUAACGGAUAUAUCUGAACCUUAAAACCACAAGACUCUGACUCAAACAGGAUCAUACAUGGAGUGGAGGAGCAACCCUGAACCUGACCCUGAUUUUGACCCUAACCCUAAUCCUGACCCUAACCUCUUACCCUGAUCCUGACUCUAAUCUAAACCCUAACCCUAACCUCUUACCCUGAUCCUGACCCUUACCUGACCCUGAUCCUAAAAUGACCCUAAUCCUAACCCUGACCCUGAUCCUAAACCUAAUCCUGACCCUAACCCUAAACCAAAUCGACACUUAUCCUGACCCUGAUCCUAACCCUAACCCCUAAACCUGAUCCUGACCCUAAUCCCAACCCUGGCCCUUAACCUGACCCUAAAUCUUACCCUAACUCUGAUCCUGACCCUGAAACUAAACCUGACUGUAAUCCUAACCCUAAUCUGACCCUUAUCCUGAUCCUAAACCUAACCCUAAUCCUGACCAUAAUUCUGGCCCUCACCCUCAUCCUGACCCUUACCCUUAACCAAUUCCUGACCCUGAUCCUGACCCUAAUCUUAACCCCUAACCCUGAUCCUGACCCUAAUCUUAAACCUAACUCUACUUCUGACCCUGAUUCUUACCCUAACUCUAAUCCUGAUCCUAACUUUAACUCUUACCCUGACCCUGAAACUAAACCUGACUGUAAUCCUAACCCUAAUCUUGACCCUUAUCCUGACCUUAAACCUAACCCUAAUCCUGACCAUAAUUCUGGCCCUAACCCUCAUCCUAACCCUAACCCUUAACCAAAUCCUGACCGUGAUCCUAACCUAACCCUAACCCCUAACCCUGAUCCUGACCCUAAUCUUAAACCUAACUCUACUUCUGACCCUGAUUCUUACCCUAACUCUAAUCCUGAUCCUAACUUUAACUCUUACCCUGACCCUGACCAAGCUUUUGAUUGUCAGGACCAGCUCUGAAGGUCUUCCCUGAAAAACUCCGAUGUUCCUCCUAAACCUGAAGAUCUUGUUUAAAACCGAGGAUGCAGCAUCUAUGAUUUCCAGUUCUACGUCGAAAGGACAACUGGACUUAACUAAGUCCAGUUGUCCUUUCCAAAAGAGUUUUAGAUUCUGAUCCAUCAGACCUCAGGACGGCUCUCCUCGUCCUCUCAGUCCACUAAUGGGCUCAGGUCCAGAAAAGUCUCUGGUGGUUCUUGACCUUGUCUCUAUCCGGUCUCCUCAUGGUUCAGUUUGAACCUGAUUUGAUCUGUGUUUACUGUCCUGUCUGUUUUCAAUGCCGACGAUCAAAUCUACUGAUUUUUACGUUACAGGUUAAAAAUUUAACAUCAGUCUUUUUUUUUUUUUUUUACUGUUUUCAGUCUAAUUUAGUUUUUUAUAAAUAAUCUGUAAACCGUUAAAAUCUGAAAAAAAUUGAUCGACUUUCCCCUCGAGGAUCAAUAAAGAUGAUAAACUUCUUAUCUCAUAAUUAUUAAUUUUAGAUUUCAUGUCUCUCAGCGUCCAGACUUUCUUCAGAUGUGAUUGUCAAAGUGGAAGUUCAGAAAAAUAAAAACAGUUUGUAGGAAACUGAGGGAUAAAAACACACUAACUCCAGGUAAUAGUCCCCUCCCGUCAGUGUCUACGAUGACGUUUUCUAACUCUACCUUGAAUCUUCUCCUCCUGCUGCCUCCUCCACAUCUGAGACAAUUAGACCUGAUUCUAUCUAAUACUGUGAGCCGAGGACCUAAUCUCCCUGAAUUACAGUCUUCUGUUGUUUAUCUGAGCAGGAGCUGCUGGAUUAUCUGGAGUGUAUUUUUAGCAGCAGCACAAAGAUCCCGUCAAUCUCCACAAAAAUCCACUUUAAGAUGAUUUUUAAUUCCCAAAUAUGAAAUCACACUAGAGCUGAAGUUAGUCCUGAUAUAACAAACUUCCUCAUGACUAAUUUAUAAGUUCAGCCUGCAGAUUUGGGCUCAUGUUGACCUCUGACCUCAGCGUCUCUGCAAACUUCGAGAUGAUGUUCUUCAAGAGUACGAGAGGACGCCUCCUCUGUAACCGAGCACGGCCUAAAGCUUGAAUAAAAUUACAUCUGAUUGAGUGUGGAGAGCUUUUUACCGCCGAUGGAGCGUACUUAGUGAGUGGAAAAUGUGCUUACCCUGCUAAUUAUACCACAUGACACAGAUGGUUCUGAGCUGGGCUGGAAAAAACUCUGGAAAUCAGCGCUGUGCCGCCGCCAAGAAAAUGAUUCUUUCACUCCAAAAAUCUCUCAAUGUUUCAUCAAAUGUCACCGAUAGAAGUUAGUGUUUUCUGAGGAGCUCAAAUAAAGAUGGUUCGGCUUUAAAACGUGAAUAAAGAAGUUUUUUUUUCUGUAAUUUUCCAGUUUAAAUGUCAGAGUGAAGCCGUCAGGCCCGAGGUCAAACUCUCAGACAUGAGAUUUAACAUUUACAAAGGUGAAGAGAGAGGGGAGCGGACCGGGGCGGUGAAAUGAAGCGUGUCGGCCUGGAAACAGAGCGAGCGCUCGUUACUGAGUCAGUCUGCUGCAGGUGAGUCACAGGUAAACAGGAGGCCAAGAAGAGGUCAGCGUCUGUGUUUGUCUGCAGAGACUCCGACUGAACCAACACCAGAACUCUGUGAAGAUAUAAAUAUGUGUUUAUAUGAAGUGACAGUUAUUACCUCUGCUCUGUUUCCUCCUUUGAUGAGAAAACUCACAGCAGAUAAAAGAAGAACCAGGACUCCUCUGUGACACAGUCAGGGUGGACUUUCAGGACCUCAGUCUGAUCUGGACCGAGACGGAGGGACAUGAGGGGGUCUCUGAAGGUGGAGAGGUUUAUCCGCUUUAAAGGUGUUGUAGUCAGGAUCUGAGUUAGUUCCAGUUUUUAGGAGAAAUCUUGACUGUAAACUCGACCCCUCCAACCAGUUUUCCCCUCAGCUCCUCCCCUCCCUCUCUUAAGCCCCGCCCACAAACAGACGCUCCUGCUCGCUCGUAUCGUUCCAGUUAAAUUCAGAUAUAAUGCAGAUAAAUACUUCAGAUCAUUACAAAUGGGGCCCAGUCAAGGUGAAAGUCAAAAGCAUUGGUGCUACUGUAGAUGCCAACAGACUACCAGCAAACACAAUGUUUGCAGGACUUCUACAACGAGGAUAAAGUGACAUAGUCCAGGACCCGAGGGAGGACAGUUUAGCGAUGGCGCUACAACACGCUACAGCAGGUCCGUUUGACAAGAAACACUUCUGUUACAGACACUUGUCUUACUUUGUUAAAGCGGUUUACCUGUCCAGCAGAAAGGUUACAGGGUCACCAAGAUCCCCAAGCGUCCCCCAUCGUUUAUGUUGACCCGGCUUUUUAGCUCUUGUCCGGUCUACCUCCGUUUUAAGCGCCCGUUAUUCCUCCAGAGUCUCCGGUAUUUACUUUGUUUUCUUGCUUGUGUCGGCAGUCGUGGCCAAAGGAGGAUUCCGACAAUUUUCCGAACUUUCUGGUUGGUUUCUACUGUCCGAUAUUGUAGCACGCUAACUUUGUUUGGGCUCCUGAACGACACGGGGAGAGUCUGCCUCAACCAAUCAGGUUAGAGGAGGUAUCGAUAUAUUACCAAAUGUCAUCAAUAACAAUAACUAAUAACUAUUGACUGAUAUUAGAAGAGUUUUUGUAUUAAAACCACAAAAUAAAAAGAUGCUUCUUUAACGGUUUCCUGUCUACUCCACCUUUAAAGUACAGCAAAGUGUCGUCUGCAUAACAAGAUUUAAGGCGGGACUUCCUGUGAUUGACAAGCUGACACUCAGGCUGUUUGAAGAUGUUCGUGACCUGAAAAACACCUGAAGUGGAUCAAAGAAAAUCAGUCCUAGAUGUGAAAACAGACUCAGACGGUCGGACCUCCUGAUCCGUCUGAAAAAGGUCUUUGUGUCAGACCCGUAUCUUUAAAACCGGAUCAUGAUUCUGGGUUCAGUCCUGACCUUUUUCUCAGCAAACAUUUACAUUUCCUCGUUCUCUCCCUCUCCUCAUGUUUGCUUCACCUUUGGUCGAGUUUUCUGGGGUCCCUCUGUAAACCUCGUUUGUUGUUCUCAGGGUUUCUUGAUCCCUCUCCGGUAUAAAUCCGAUCUUCCUUCAGCUCUUUAUAAACUUUUCUCUCACAAACUCUGAAUCAAACUUUGAGAUUCAGUUUGCAUCCGUUCAUGCGGAGCCAGAUCACCUUGACUCCUGCUCCUCCUCGCUCCGAGUCUGACUCUGUGUUUGAUCCCCGCCAUGAUGGCGGCCUGCAGGCGUACAGCCGGAGCUUACUGUGAGUUACAUCAGAUACAGAGACUGACGGUCCGACCAAUCGGAGCGAGGAGAGGACGACUUUAGGACAUUUAAAAUCUUUUUUUCUUCUUUCUCCAGAUUUAGAAACCAGUGAACCCGACGUGAACCUGAGACCAGCUCUGACUCUGAAGUCUGAGAAACACAAAACUCAUAAAGUCUGAAAGUUUGAAGAGUUCAUGAUUUCAUUCAGUGACGGACAGAGAGUCUGAGAAAAGGGAACAAGAAAAAGGUUCCAGAUGAAGGUCAAAGUCCAGGAUUGAGCGAUAAAACUGUCCUCGUCGGACUCUGAGGUUUGGGGAACUUUAGUCCUGAUCUGGUCUCCAUGAUCCUGCAACAAAAACUGGUUCAGCUGAAGUACCAGCAUUUACAAACUCAUGGCAUCUGUCAGGAGAUCGACAGGCGGAUCGGAGCGGCGUCAGCAGUGAUGCGGACGCUGAACCGAUCAGUGGUGGUGAAGAAAGAGCUGAGCCGUAAGGAGAGACUCUGGAUUUACCGGUCGAUCUACGUGCCGAUCCUCACCUAUGGUCAUGAACUUUGGGUAAUGACCGAAAGAACAAGAUCGCAGAUACAAGCGGCUGAAAUGGGUUUCCUCCUCAGGGUGUCCGGGCUCAGCCUUAGAGAUAGGGUAAGGAGCUCAGAGGAGAACCGCUGCUCCUCCACGUCCAGAGGAGACAGCUGAGGUGUUAGGACGCCUUCUGGAUGCCUCCCAUUAGAGGUGUUCCAGACAUGUCCCACCGGGAGGAGACCUCGUGGUCGGCCCAGGACCAGGUGGAGGGAUUAUAUCUCUCGCCUGGCCUGGGAGCGCCUGGGAAUCCCCCCAAAGGAGGAGCUGGUGGAAGUGUCUGGGGUGAGGGCCGUCUGGGCUUCCCUCCUGAAGCCGCUGCCCCCGCGACCCGGACCAGGAUGAAGCGGAAGAAAAUGACGACAACAACAUCUGUUGUUGUUGGUCUCAAAGCUUUUACAACAAAACCCUAAAAAGUCAGGACACUGUGUGAAAUGUUGACCAAGAAUUUAGAUGUUUUUCUAUUUCCUAUAUAAUCCUCUCAACGUAGAAAUGGAAAUAAUAGAUGCUGCAUCUUCAGUUUUGAACGAUAUCUCCAGGUUUCGGAGCAACAUCUGAACAUCUGCUGCCAUCCAGACAAAGACUUUUUCAGGGAAGACCUUCAUAUUUCAACAUUUGGCGGAUCGAUAAUAACGAGUGACGACAGAGAAACUAAAUCCACGUCAAACAGCAGACUGAGAAAAAUCAGCUGUUUUUAUUUAUUACAGUUAAUCUGAGAGAUUAACCCUAAAACUUUGAACUUCACGUAUUUUUAAUGUUGUCAGUUUUUCGUCUCUCGGACCGUCCCUUCAGUGAAUUCAUCACAUGACUAUGAGACAGCGAGAGCGUCAGACCUGCUGCUGAGACUCUAAUCUGAGCAGGAAAUCAUCGACACAGAUAUUACAGAGCUGCUCUAUCAUCAUGUGUGCGUCUGUGCUAAUCGCUGUGGGUCCAUUAAAUUAGCUGGAACACAGGGGGAUACCGACUAUUUCACACUGAGGGAGCAUUUAAAGGCCUUUGUAAUAAUUUACUGCUGCUCUGGGCUUUUAUAAUCAGGUGAUAAAAGCAAUUAACCGUGAUGGAGAUAAAAACAGGUCCACCAGAUCACUCUCCGACUGAUUUCACAUCAUCGUAAACGUGGCGUGACUGUUUUUGUCGGAUUGUAUAAAAGUUUGAAAGUGACUUCAAAAACCAGGAGGAUUCUGGGAGAACUUCCUCUAAUCCUGAGUGUGUGUGUGUGUGUGUGUGUGUGGAGUCGAGCUGAAGGCUGAUUGUUGAAAACAAAGAAAUCAAUAUGACUCUGCGGCGUUUUCCCUCACUGCUGCACAGAAUCAAACCCUGAUAUCUGCACUAAUGAAAGCAGAAUAAAUGACCGAGUGUGUUUCUGUUCCUUUUCCUCUCCAUGUCUAAUGAACUGACCCACCCGUCCAGGUUAUUGAUCACAUCAGCUGCAGGUAUUUAUAGGUUUACAUGUCUUUAUACUGCCUCCAUCAUGACAGACCUAAAGAGCGCGCUCUAGAAUCGGACCCUCGGUCUGACCGAUCGAUCCAAUUCAUCCCGCACAAGCUCAACUGGAGAAAGGUCUGGAGACUGAGGGGGCCAAACCAUCUUUUGAAGAACACCUUCCUCUUUAUUUUUGUCGAGGUAACCCUGACAGAGCUCGGCAGAGUGCUUAGGGUCAUUGUCUUACUGCAAAACAAACUGAUGAGCCACAAGUCUGAGUCCAGAUGGAGCAGCAUGGUGCUGGAGGAUGGAGUGGUACUGUUCCUUCUUCAUGAUACCUUUUACUUCAAACAAAUCUCCUACUCCAUCUCCUGCAAAACAUCCCCAUACCAUGAGCUACCACCUCCAUG